rnacentral:rRNA from 1 species
AUUGAGCGCUGGCGGCAGGCUUAACACAUGCAAGUCGAGCGGGGGAAGGUAGCUUGCUACCGGACCUAGCGGCGGACGGGUGAGUAAUGCUUAGGAAUCUGCCUAUUAGUGGGGGACAACAUCUCGAAAGGGAUGCUAACACCGCAUACGUCCUACAGGAGAAAGCAGGGGAUCUUCGGACCUUGCGCUAAUAGAUGAGCCUAAGUCGGAUUAGCUAGUUGGUGGGGUAAAGGCCUACCAAGGCGACGAUCUGUAGCGGGUCUGAGAGGAUGAUCCGCCACACUGGGACUGAGACACGGCCCAGACUCCUACGGGAGGCAGCAGUGGGGAAUAUUGGACAAUGGGGGGAACCCUGAUCCAGCCAUGCCGCGUGUGUGAAGAAGGCCUUAUGGUUGUAAAGCACUUUAAGCGAGGAGGAGGCUACUUUAGUUAAUACCUAGAGAUAGUGGACGUUACUCGCAGAAUAAGCACCGGCUAACUCUGUGCCAGCCGCCGCCGUAA